AAUGAACGCUGGCGGCGUGCCUAAUACAUGCAAGUCGAACGGAGUGGCGCGCGGGCGGGUAAUUUAUAGCUAAUCUGCCCUCCCCUCGAGGACAACAGUUGGUAUCGGCUGCUAAUUCUCACUAGUGUAGUGUGAGGCUAUAUUGUAUCAACUAGUUGGUUAGGUGAUGGCUCACCAAGGCUAUGACGCAUAACUGGUCUGAGAGGAUGAUCAGACACACUGGAACGGAGACACAGUCCAGACUCCUACGGGAAGCAGCAGUAGGGAAUAGUGCUCAAUGGGGGAAACCCUGAAGCAGCAACGCCGCGUGGAGGAUGACACUUUUCGGAGAGUAAACUCCUUUUGUUAGGGAAGCGGUACCUAACGAAUAAGCACCGGCUAACUCCGUGCCAGCCGCCGCGGUAAUUC
rnacentral:rRNA from 1 species